AGGAUUAUCGUAGCAGUUUGUUUGCUGCUUCCUGUUCUAGCCGGUAAGGAUUCGUGCUUUUUUUUUGCGGACUGCUGAUUUCUCAGGCUACCUUACGUUUCCAACUGUUUCCCCGUUGCUCCUGCUGGAUGUCCCCAAAAAUGUAGGAAAUAUCUGUUGAUAUGAUCAUGAUUCACUUUGAUGCAGCUGGCUACCAUAGGUUUUCGACUGUAGAAGAGGCCAACGCAGCGCUGCGGCGCGACCAUAUCGCCACCGGCAUCGGCCAUACGCUGGAGCAAAUGCAGCGGGGCCAGGGGAAUCUUGGAUUUAGCUCAUACUUUGGUUUUGUUUUUGCUUUCUACUCCAUGUCGGUCCUGGUCGUGGCUGGAGUGUGGGAUCACUUAACAGCAUUGUUUGGAGCAGUUGACGGCGAAUAUAUACUUGCAUUUACCACGAUGCUUGUUAUCUCCGGUUUUAUCGUGGCGACCAGCAUCCGCUUCAUGUUACAUGUCCGUUCUUGCCCACCCAAUAAUUAUUUUCCCCUUUUAUUUUCUUGUGGAUUUUUCUUCAUUAUAAGUACUUGCUUCCUUGUCUUAUCAGAGUCUAGCACCAUGAUCGCUGACACCACAAAGCGCCUCUGCAAUGUGUAAGGUCAGUGCAGGCACCAUUUCAGAUAUAUUGCCUCUGUUAAAACUAUCUUUAUGGAUUUCUCCCUCUGUCAACAAAUAUAAGACGUUCUAGAUCACUAUUCACAUUAUCCUGCUAGAUUGUGAAAAUACAUUAUCUCUGGAAAUAAACCCUUAUGUGAUAGAUUCCCUAUGUUUUAUGAGGAGGCAAGAGCUCUAGAGACCCAUAAACUUGCAAGGUAGGUGAUGCUUUAGUCCACAAACGUGCAAAAGGUGAUGAAGCCAUCCACAAACUUGCACUGCGCCGACAGAUGUAGUCCACAGCCAAUCAUAACCUGACAAUUGGCGCCAUGCUGGCCGCGUCGUGGCCCAACCGCUCGCCCUGGCACUUUUGUGAAAACCCCAUUCACCUUUCUGGAAAUCACGCGCGUGUACAUGAUAUUUGGUGUACAUACUAUUUUUCUGCAUGAACAUGAUAUUUGGAGUCUUCCUUUAGUGGAGUGCUAAUCUAGCCGUGCUUGAAGGACAUUAUGGUAUGUUUUGUUCGGACUUGGGAGUUGUCUGAAACUGUUGCCAUGUGGAUUUAUCAAGCUACUUGCACAUUUAUGUCCUGGAUUCAUAUAUAAUUUAAUUUAUCCAUUUUGUAACAUCUGCUGCCAGUAGAAAUUAGGGAAAACUUUGUUUUUGCCAACUUUUGCCCACUUUGCUUAUGCCACUCUAGAAUUUGACAUAUCACUUUUGCCACUCUCAACUUCUAACAAUUAUCACAAUUGCCAUUCCGUGGCAAAAGCAAAAUUUUCGGAGUGGCAAUUGUGAUACAUUGUCAAAAUCUAAGAGUGGCAAUCAAAAGUUAGGAGUGGCAAAAGUGAGAUGUCAAAUUCUAGAGUGGCAUGAGUAAAGUGGGCAAAAGCUAGAGUGGCAAAAACAAAGUUUUCCCUAGAAAUUACGGAAGCCAAAUCAAGUCUGUCAUCUCAUUUCACCUUUGCAGAGAAGAUGCUAAGUUUCUAACGUGUGAAUAAAAUUCAGGUAGUUCCUUACAAUAGUGUAUAAAAUCUUUAGUUCCUUGCACAUUAUAUUGUUUCAGGUUUUUCUUCUUGUUCUUGUUAUUGAUUAUUGGUCUGCCGCCUAACUUGCUCAUAAUUUCUGCUAAUUCAGCCUGCGGUGCGCUGCGAUACCUGGAUGUCGAUGCACAGUAGAGAAAGAUCAGAGCGGGAGUCCCGACAGUUCAAUUGUUCAUACGUUCCUCUUCCUUGGAUAGAUACAGAUUCAGAAAACGCAGCAGCUGUAGAACUACUGAAAGCCUUGCGACCAAUGGCUGAACAAUUUUGUAGUGAUGCUGGAAUGUAGUAGCUCUUCUGACAUUCAUCGUGUGAUGUGAUUGCCACGGCUUCGUAGACAAAGCGUUUCACUGUAGGGCACUUGCAAUGAGUUGAUGGUCCUGCAAUUUGUUUGGAUCAUACAUUUCACGUACUGGAAAAUACAUUAGUUUUUGCAAUGAGCUGAUACUCCUUCAUUCCUUUUAGAAAUGCAGAAUGCAGUGGGUUCUUCCUGUGAGCUAUUGAUCAUGUUUUUCGUUUUGCUGUUUUGUGUGUUUUUAGAAUCUUUAACUCCUGGCUUUAAAGCAAAAAAGGCCUUAUGAUAGAAUAGUACAAAGUUUCAAAAAUAAAUAGCCUGAAUCCUUGCGAAAUCUGUCGAACACCUAGUGCGAAAAGUCACAUUGCACUGUUUAUGUUGUCGGUCUUCUGGUGUCUUUUUAGAAAAUGGUAGGGUCAUGCAGUCUAUAAGCAGGUUUUUCCGCAGGUGUCAGAUGUCACACAGUUGAUUACCAUGAUUGCGAGGCAGAGCUUGUUCCUGUCCUGUACAUAGGUCAGUGCAGUUCCCAUUUCGGGAGGAAUCGGGUGGCGAUGGCUUACGGUCGUCAUGACUCUGGUUGAGGUACUCUUCUGGUAGAUAUUUUUUUGUUAGCUCUGAUUCUUGGGUCGGCUUACAUGGGAUUGCAUCGCAGGUCUGUUGCUGCCGUCGAUUCUUCCUCAUGUGGAAUUGUGCCUGGACUAUGCUAGCGUUCUUCUUUCAGCGGCUGCGCCAUUGAUGUUCCUACUGGGUGAGUUUCUUCUUCACUUAGGUUUUUGUCUUGCUUAAUUGCUUAAUUAUUCGUGCACAAUUCAUGCUAAAUGGUGCUCUACCUUGCCGUCAAGGUGUUCAUGUGUGCCUAGGUUUAUGCAGAUGCUAGGAUCUAGAUGGACUCAUACAGAGAAAUUCUCUGUUGUCCUUUAGUUUGUUGGGUGCCUUGGCUAAGUUCCUGGGAAGUGUUUUUUGGUUUGUUCCUGUCAAAUAGGUGCUUGGAUCUGCCUAGAUUCGUAGGAGGUUUUUGUUACCUUCCUUAAUCUGCUAGGUGCCUUCCUUUUUUAUGUAGGAACUUUUACAUUUGUGUCCCUAACUCGAACCCACUACUCAGAUUUGCCCCUAAUUACGAAGCAUGCUCAAAUUUACCCCUAUGCUGUUAGGUGACCUUAUAGAAAUGCCCUUAUGUGCCGUUUCCGUCCGGUCAAAGGCCUUUGACCGUCUAUCGGACGUUUCCUGGACAAUUUUGCCCCUCCUUACGGCUGGGCCCUGUGACUAAAAAAGUCUCUCUCACGGUCUCACCUCUCUUCUGUAUCACUUACAUGUGGGCCCAAAAAAAGAAAAUGAAAAAAACUCUCUCCCACCUCUCUCUAACUUACACGUGGGCCCUAACAAAAAAAUAAAACAAACAAACAAACAACAACAACAACAACAACAACAAAGCCUUUAGUCCCAAACAAGUUGGGGUAGGCUAGAGGUGAAACCCAUAAGAUCUCGUGACCAACUCAUGGCUCUGGCACAUGGAUAGCAAGCUUCCACGCACCCCUGUCCAUAGCUAGUUCUUUGGUGAUAUAACAAAAAAAUAAAA
rnacentral:lncRNA from 1 species